rnacentral:rRNA from 1 species
AGAGUUUGAUCCUGGCUCAGGAUGAACGCUAGCGGCAGGCCUAAUACAUGCAAGUCGAGGGGCAGCAGGGUAGCAAUAUCGCUGGCGACCGGCGCACGGGUGCGUAACACGUAUACAAUCUGCCUUUAACAGGGGGAUAGCCCGGAGAAAUCCGGAUUAAUACCCCAUAAUACUUUGAGUGGCAUCACUUGGAGUUGAAAGUUCCGACGGUUAAAGAUGAGUAUGCGUCUGAUUAGCUAGUUGGUGAGGUAACGGCUCACCAAGGCGACGAUCAGUAGGGGAUCUGAGAGGAUUAACCCCCACACGGAUACUGAGACACGGAUCCGACUCCUACGGGAGGCAGCAGUAAGGAAUAUUGGACAAUGCCCGCAAGGGUGAUCCAGCCAUGCCGCGUGCAGGAAGACGGCCCUAUGGGUUGUAAACUGCUUUUACACCGGAGAAAACCCCACUACGUGUAGUGGGCUGAUAGUAUGGUGAGAAUAAGCAUCGGCUAACUUCGUGCCAGCAGCCGCGGUAAGACGAAGGAUGCAAGCGUUAUCCGGAUUCAUUGGGUUUAAAGGGAGCGUAGGUGGCCUUAUAAGUCAGUGGUGAAAUCUCUGGGCUUAACCCAGAAAUUGCCAUUGAUACUGUAGGGCUUGAGUAUAGUUGCCGUUGGCGGAAUAUGACAUGUAGUGGUGAAAUACAUAGAGAUGUCAUAGAACACCGAUUGCGAAGGCAGCUGACGAAACUAUAACUGACACUGAGGCUCGAAAGUGUGGGGAUCAAACAGGAUUAGAUACCCUGGUAGUCG